rnacentral:rRNA from 1 species
CAGUCGCCACGGGAAUACGAAGGGGGCUAGCGUUGUUCGGAUUUACUGGGCGUAAAGCGCACGUAGGCGGAUCCUUAAGUCAGAGGUGAAAUCCCAAGGCUCAACCUUGGAACUGCCUUUGAUACUGGGGAUCUCGAGUUCGGGAGAGGUGAGUGGAACUGCGAGUGUAGAGGUGAAAUUCGUAGAUAUUCGCAAGAACACCAGUGGCGAAGGCGUCUCACUGGCCCGGUACUGACGCUGAGGCGCGAAAGCGUGGGGAGCAAACAGGAUUAGAUACCCCCGUAGUCCCUGUCUCUUAUAC